rnacentral:rRNA from 1 species
UACGUAGGGUGCAAGCGUUAAUCGGAAUUACUGGGCGUAAAGCGUGCGCAGGCGGUUGUGCAAGUCAGAUGUGAAAUCCCCGGGCUUAACCUGGGAAUUGCAUUUGUGACUGCACGGCUAGAGUGUGUCAGAGGGGAGUAGAAUUCCACGUGUAGCAGUGAAAUGCGUAGAUAUGUGGAGGAAUACCGAUGGCGAAGGCAGCCCCCUGGGAUAACACUGACGCUCAUGCACGAAAGCGUGGGGAGCAAACAGG